GUGGCUUUAAGCCCCAUUUGGUGACAGAGUGAAUGUGACAGUGAAUGGUUGUGUCUCUACAUGUGCCCUGGAGCUAGGGUGUAGUCUGGCUUUUGCUUGAAGUCAGCCAAGACCCUGAGCAGGAUUUCUAGCUACUCAUGUAGCUAAGUAAGUUCCAGCGUACCUUUAACUGGCGCCUGGGCUCCAGAGGAGGAUGUCACUCGGCUGAGUAGAGAGUUGGUAUCCAGACCUCCUCCUUCCACAGUCACAGUUGCACCUCCAGAACCUGAGGACCCAUCACCCUCCUUCAAAUCGAACAACUCCUGGGUGUUUUACAGUUUCACUCUGCUCUUGAACAGACUUUGACUGGCUGUUAAUUCUGCGUUCUACACUGAGCACGCACGUUAACAUGGAGAAAGAACAGUACAACAAGCAUGAUUCAAAAUUCAAUUUUCCUAAAAGCAGUUACCUGAUUUAUAAUCAAUGAACGUGAGUGACUGACCGAUAGUUAGGAAUAGAACCCGAUGGAUGAAUUCUUGUUAACUUCGUGUUAAGUGUUUAAAAGCGAUGUUGUUUUUCUUUCGGAAUAAAUUAUAGAAUUUGAAAACACGAAUAGUCCUGCAAUAUGGUGAAUUACACACGAGUUGAUUGCAAGUGAACAAUCCUGGUUGAAAACUCUUCUUUUUUUCUCAUGCUUUUUGGAGUAUUUACAAUUUUAAUAUUUUUUGCACUGUACACUGUUUUUAAUUGUACUUUUCUUUUUUUUAUGUGUAUAUUGUCGUUGUUAUUGUUUUUAAAUGUUUUAUCUCUGUAUCAAAAUCAUCUUAAUUGUGUAAAGCACAUUCAGUUACUUUGUGUAUGAAAUGUGCUAUAUGAAUAAAUUUGUUUUGCUUAAUGAAUUGUCAUAUUUCCCAAUGAUCAGUUCAUGUAAUUUCCAGUUCAGGGACCUAAUAAUUGGAGUACAUAUAUGCUGGGGUGGUAUUUACUUCAUAAUAAUGUAAUAUAAUGUAUGAUCAUAACAUUGAAACACUAAAAAUGGAGUUUUGCCUUCCUUUCACGGUACCAUUUCAUACCAGGUGUGGGCAGUUUAAUCUCACAUCACCCCUGCCCUCCCUCAGAGCCUUAACACAAUGACCUUCUAUAAUGGUCAAACAUGUUACAACCAAGAAAAAAAGGCGGAUUCUUCAUUCACAUCUAAAAAAAUAAUGAAACAUUUCCCUGGUGUGAAUCUGCCUUUCAUCCUUUUCGUAAAACACAAUUCACCCUUUUCAAUAUCACUCUCAGAAACCUUUUUUUUUUCAAAUGAAUCUUAAUGUUCAAAUAUGUAUUACAGUAUAGCAAGUUAAUUUCCAUAAUAGGGUUGUGCAUUAACUUGAUUCAGCGUGCUUGAUUUUUUUUUGUAUCAGUCUGUAUCAAAUGCAAAUAUCUUGGGUGAGAUGUCUAAAAAUGUGAUCACAGGCACCUUGUAUCCUACUACAAAUUCUUCAUAUUUGCAGGCCUAUUCAGGGUUAUAUUACAUCAGCCUUGUUUUAUUUGAACUAUUUUCUCUUAAGAUCUUUUUUUUUAAAACUUCAUACUCUGGGACAAAAUAGGUCAGUACAAACGGAAGGAUGUUGUAUAACAUUGCAGGGGGUCCUCAGUGUGCAGAUAAGAUAGGGGGGUUUGCUGUGUGGGAGGCACGUUAACAUCAGCAAUUCAGGGUGUG